rnacentral:tmRNA from 1 species
GGGGGCGAUAGGCCUCGACGGGGGUUAUGAAGCCCUGGUUGCAUACCGUGGCCCUGUCACCACGCAAAAAGGCAGGAAACAAAUACAAAAGCCAACACUGAAUUGGCACUUGCUGCUUAAGCAGCGCGCUUCCCUGGGAUUGCCUGUGCCCCAGGAGAGGCGUCAGAAAGCAGGCUGGCUUAAAGGUCUCUCCCUUAGCCUUUAGGCAAGACUUUAAGGGAUAGGAAUCAAGGAUGCCCGCUUACUGGCAGCCCUGAUUCUAAAAAGAAAAUAAGUAAGCUAAGUAUGUAGAUGCCGUGGUGUAGUGCUUCCGGACGCGGGUUCGAUUCCCGCCGCCUCCACCA